GAUGCCGUUUCCACGCGUGAGCGCGAACCGCGCUGUGCUUGAUUAGGGGGCGUCGAGCCGGAUCUGCUCGCGGGGACACCAGGACAACCCCACCCGCGGGCCAUGCCCUGCUUGCUGCGGCUGCUGCAGAAGGGAGAGCGCCACUGGGCUGCAAUAAUGUUACCUCCAGCCCACCGUCUAGUUAUUACUUUGUGACUCUCUGGGGUUCAAGCUGGGUCCACAGUAACCAGCGUUUGAAUGAGUUUGACCUAUCCUGGUGCACCAGAACAUGCCCAGAGCGCACCUGGAACAACAACAACAACAACAAACUUUCACCGCGCACAGACGCUUCAAUGCAACUAUCAACAUUGCAAUGGGACUAAUCAGACAAGGGUUUUUGUUAGGGUCCAUUUAUUUUCAAGCUUUUCUCUGCAACACGAAAGGAAAAACAGCAAAUAUUGCAGGACUCAGGAGAGGACUGAAAGUGCUGGAAACACUGAAAAGAUAAGUGAAAGCAUCUGGAGCAGUUGCAGAUGAGAUCAGCUCAUAGCUGGGACAGAACAGAAUGCUGCUGAUUUGGAAGCAGGUGUUUGCAUCACAAAAUCUUGGGUCAGCAUGGAAGUGUUCAAGGAUGCUAUUUUUCAAACUGACUCCAGCCAA